rnacentral:tRNA from 1 species
GCCGCGGUAGCCCAACCCGGCAGAGGCAGCCGAUCACAUUCAGAUUCUCGCUCGAAGCUCAGCAUUGACCGUCGAGAGCCACAUCGACCGAGGGCAGGCCAUGAUUGUUGAGAUGCCGGUUCGAAUCCGGCCCGCGGCU